rnacentral:rRNA from 1 species
AUAACCUUGGGAAACUGAGUAUAAGAUAAGAUAAUUUUGUUCUGGUGGAAAGUCUUUAACUUUAAACGUAAGGGCCUAAGGAUGAGUCGGCGGCCGAUUAGGUAGUUGGUGAGGUAAAGGCUCACCAAGCCUAUGAUCGGUAGGGGCCGUGAGAGCGGGAGCCCCGAGAGGGGCUCUGAGAUACUGGCCCCAGCCCUACGGGGUGCAGCAGGCGCGAAAACUCUACAAUGCACGAAAGUGUGACAGGGGGAUCCUAAGUGCUUAUACUUUUGUAUAGGCUUUUGUUAAGAAUAAAAAUCUUAGAGAAUAAGUGGUGGGUAAGACUGGUGCCAGCCGCCGCGGUAACACCAGCGCCACGAGUGGCAACCACAUUUAUUGGGCCUAAAGCGUCCGUAGCCGGAUUGGAAAAUCUCUUGUGAAAUCUUUAAGCUUAACUUAAAGGCGUGCAGGAGACACUACCUUUCUAGGAAUCGGGAAGAGUCAGAGGUAUUCCUGGGGGAGCGGUAAAAUGUUAUAAUCCCAGGAGGACCACCUAUGGCGAAGGCAUCUGACUAGAACGAAUCCGACGGUGAGGGACGAAAGCUAGGGGAGCAAACCGGAUUAGAUACCCGAGUAGUCCUAGCUGUAAACGCUGUGAGCUAGGUGUUGCAUAUUCCUCGAGAAUGUGCAGUGUCGAAGCGAAGGCGUUAAGCUCACCGCCUGGGAAGUACGGUCGCAAGACUGAAACUUAA